AUUGAACGCUGGCGGCAGGCCUAACACAUGCAAGUCGAGCGAGUGGCGGACGGGUGAGUAAUGUCUGGGAAACUGCCUGAUGGAGGGGGAUAACUACUGGAAACGGUAUCUAAUACCGCAUACCAUCAGAUGUGCCCAGAUGGGAUUGGCUGGUAGGUGGGGUAAUGGCUCACCAAGGCGACGAUCCCUAGCUGGUCUGAGAGGAUGACCAGCCACACUGGAACUGAGACACGGUCCAGACUCCUACGGGAGGAAGCAGUGGGGAAUAUUGCACAAUGGGCGCAAGCCGGAUGCAGCCAUGCCGCGUGUGUGAAGAAGGCCUUCGGGUUGUAAAGCACUUUCAGCGGGGAGGCGUUACUCGCAGAAGAAGCACCGGCUAACUCCGUGCCAGCAGCCGCGGUAAUAC
rnacentral:rRNA from 1 species